AAGCGGAAAAGGGAAAGGCUUAGUGGCGGACGGGUGAGUAACGCGUGGGUAACCUGGCCCAUACAGGGGGAUAACACUUAGAAAUAGGUGCUAAUACCGCAUAACGACAGAAAGCGCAUGCUUUUUGUUUGAAAACCAAGGUGGUAUGGGAUGGACCCGCGUCUGAUUAGCUGGUUGGCGGGGUAAAGGCCCACCAAGGCGACGAUCAGUAGCCGGCCUGAGAGGGUGGACGGCCACAUUGGGACUGAGACACGGCCCAAACUCCUACGGGAGGCAGCAG
rnacentral:rRNA from 1 species